CAGUAGUUUCGACUGUUACUUCUACUUUGACCCCAGACACCCCAGUGAGAUCAACUACCAGGUUGACCUCUCCUUUGACCCCCAGCACAGCAGUGAAUCCUACAUCAGGAGGUCAAAGCUCCACAGAAAGCGUUC